rnacentral:piRNA from 1 species
UGGGAACAACAGCAAAGUACUGUGGCC